GUGCUGUCCGAACUUUGAAGGGAUUUGUUUGCAUUGAGUUUGUGAUCUAAGACUUGGAUUUGGGCAAGGCAAUGUUAUAUGCUGGAUGAUUUCUGAGCCGUGGAGGGCUCAAAGCGAAGGAAGGUCUUGUUGCGCUUAUUCACAUGUCUGGAUGGCCUAUAUCUUGUACAGUUUGGAUUUGGAAUCAUUUUAUGUAUAGUUGGGAAUUAUUUCCGCUUUGCUUUUGACAUGUAAUUAUUGGAGAAUUUGAUGUAAUAUUUGAUAUUUAUAUUGUAAUUCAUUUGAGAAUUGUAAUGAACGACUGAGUCCCGGCGAGAGUUGGGCAGGCGGCCCGCCGAACCCUCUGGUUCGCCUUAGGGGGAGGUGGGGCUGUCACAAGUUUCACAUUUAUCAACUCAAAUCUCAUAACUCGAAAA